rnacentral:lncRNA from 1 species
CUCUUUGGUCAACAUUUGCUUUCUAUUUGAAUUUUAGGUGGUUAAAUAAACUUGGAUCGGCUGUAAUCCAUCAGGAAUCCACUACAAAGGAUGAAGAAUGUUACAGUGAAAGUGAACAGGAAGAUCCAGAAAUAGCUGCGGAGACACCACCCCCUCCUCACGCUUCCCAGACUCAGUCUUUGACUGCACAGCAGGCAUCUUCAUCCUCACCCAGCCUGAGUGGAACGUCGUAUUCUUUCUCUUCCCUGGAAAAUACAGUGAAGACACCCAGCAGUUUUCCUUCCUCCUUAUCUAAAGAGAGACAAUCCUUGCCUGACACAGUUAACAGUUUGUCUGCUGCUGAAGAUGAGGGACAACCAAUAACGUUUGCUGUGCAAGUUCAUUCACCUGUACC